GAGUCAGCGGCCCCGGGGGUGGGAACAGCACCAGGCAGUCUCAGAUCUCUGGGAAGAAGGCCGGGAAGAUGGAUGAAAGAAAAGAUGGACGGUCAGGGAGAAGCAGGCGAAGGGCACAGUAGUGCAGAAGGCUGUGUGCCUAGCACUGUGCACCCCACUACACUCCGCACCGAACUAUACAGGGACAAGGCUGCUCAUCCGGCCCUAGCAAACCAGAGGCUGCCGGCUACUGACCUCAGACACGAGGGCGUCCAGGCACAUCAGGUAGACUUGAGACAUGAAGUCCAGCUCUGGAGUAACAGACAGACUAUGGCUCUGUCCCAUGUCUUCUUUCUAACUUCAUGACAUUGGGUAAGUCCCUAAUUCCCCGAGUCUUUGGAGGGGAAGCAGGGGCGGGGCUGAUAUGAAGGUUUCUCUGUGUAGUCCUGGCUGUCCUGGAACUCACUCUCUAGACCAGGCUGGCCAUGAACUCAUAGAGUUCUGACCACCUCGGCUUCCCCAGUGGUGGGAUUAAAGGUGUGCUUGACAUUUCUCUGGGUCUUAAUAACCCUGGGCCGAACGAUCUUGAAGAGUCCAGGAUUGUAUGAGUGUCUGGGAACAGCCAACCAAAGGGUAUCUUGCUACUUUGGUUAAGCCCAGUAUGCAGAGGUGUGCACCCACUUUUCUCCGCACACCCACCAGUGGAUACCUUCUUAUACUCUUUCACAGCCUUUGCCAGUAAAUGUAUACCCGGACACAAAAAGCCAGAACCAGGUCUAAGGCCAGAGUCCUACAAUAUAAGUGUUUGUUUCUCUGCUCAUUCCUGCCCUUUCUCCCAGGAGGCAGGACAAUGACUUACUGACGCCAGAAGGCAGCCCUGUGUAAACUGUGAAUGGUAAAUCACAGUUGGAGUUCAAGGUCAUUACCGAGUUAAGGUCUAAACAGAUAGGUAGGAGGUCGCCAUCUCCUGGAGGGAGUCAGCGCGCGCCCCAGCACCCAGCACCAGUACCUCAGCAGGCAGUCCAAGCCUGGCUGGGGAGCAGAGUGUAUUCCUCCAAUCCUCAGCACCCCAGAAAGUAGGCAGAGUUCCAGGGCCCAAACCGUGGAAGCCUAGUAAGGGGAGGAGCCGAGCAUAUCCGAAAAGCGCUAGAAUCUAUUCCAGCCGAGCAAACCGAACAGAAUUGAAUCCAGCCGAGUACGGCCGAGAAGAACCGAAUGGAGACGAUUUUUUCCGAGCCUUAAAGAACAGUCGGGUCCAGCCGGGUAGUUCCGAUUGUGGCCGAAUAAAGCCGAAUCUGAGCAAAGAGGAGGAGCUGGUGCUCUGAGGUCCAGCGGCGCCCCCUGGCGGACACAGAAAGAACUGGGUUGACCUGAAUGGGAGUCAUUGUAUCACCUUGCUGUCUGAUGGAGUUGUGAAGUGCACUUCAGGAAUGAGAAAACCGAGGCUCCACCAGGACCUGAGGUUGGCUCAUGGGCACUCUGAGCUAGGAAGUGAAUGAUCUGGGGUUCCCCUGAUUGCGUGUGGCCAAGAACACCCGUGCCACUGCCCACACAUAAGUCAGGUCGUGUUUGUCCAUUUGUUACAGCCAGAGCCUACAGAGAACUCCCUUUUAGAGAGUAGACAGAACUCAGACAUAACCAUAGCCUCACAGAUGGAGAAACCAAGCAGGCUCUGCAAGUGUUGACCGAGGGCGGCGGAGCGGCAGUUCCCAUGAGCAAAUAUUGACACAUUUCCUGAUCAUUAAAGCAGAAAGUCCGACUGAAAGAGGA
rnacentral:lncRNA from 1 species